rnacentral:lncRNA from 1 species
ACCUAGAUAAGGAUUUUAUUUUACUACAACAGUAGCCCCGUUGAGCUGGAGGCAUUGAGAAUGCCUCAUGGUCAACCUUCGAUGUGAGACUUUUGAUCCUUUUUCUCGUUCUUGUAUUCAUGAUGGUGUCUUUGAUGGAUUCCCUGGCGAGCUUCCUUGCGAGAAAUGGAGGUACUUGGUGGUUUUCCUGCAAAGAACAGGAGCCUUGGAGGUGAUUCGGGGAAAUUCCAUGCCCACGGCGAUUUUCUGUGCGAGAAAUAGAGCUUCGGGUGGUAUUUUAGCAAAAUCGGGACCCUAUGGGCCUCUCUGCGAGAAAUCCGGCGUCCCGAAAGUCUUUUCUGCAAAAAUUAGGGCCCUGCGAGCCUCCCCGAAAUUUCCGGGGUCUUAUUGGCAAUUUUCCGUGAGCCUUGUCGGCCGCAUGGGCUAGCCGGGCCAUCCUGGCGCGUGCGUGGACGCGGACUGGGCCGGCCUUGCGUGUGAGUUGGGCUGCCUUCGGACGCGCCACACCCUUUUUUUCCUUUUUUUUUACUGGCCAACUUCUCGGGCCACAGUUGUGCUUCGGCCCAGCUGGGUCCGAUACCGGUUCGGGAUUAAGUGAAAGAUCCGACGGCCGCGGACGAAGGGAAGCCCUAGAUCGGACGGUCCCUGGUUGUCUUCCUCCUUCGUACAGAAGGGGACCGAGCGGCCUCCUUUCCCGAGCUUUUGCAGGCGACGCCCGUCACCGGGGUGACGCCGGCGCGGCGAGGACACGGGGCGUCCUCCUUUAGGGAAAAGGGGGUCCAUCCCCUCCCCAUUUCUUCCUCUUCUUGUCUUGUUCUUUGGGAUGAAGGACGGCGAGGUGUCGCCACACCAUUGGCCCGACCCGGACGCCUAGGAGCUCCGGCGGCCUAUAAAAUGGCACCCCCGGGCAUUGAGGAGGCUCACACCAUGCUUGUUUGAUUUGUCCGGCGUCGAAGAUGAGUUCGGCGUCGCCCGACAUUUCUUCGGGAGGUUGCUGUUUUGUAGGGGCCUCGCAGGGGCAUUAGCCAUUCUUCAGCAGCGACGAAGGUCACGUUGGUGGCCGAGGAGCCGCCGCGGAAGCUUCUCGUCGUCGAGUCUUCGUGGGGACGCGGAGCACGCCCGAGGCCGCUAGGAGCGAGGUGCCGGUCGUGCCUACAAGUGCAGCCGGGAGACCCUCGCCGUCGGCCGCGUCCUUCCUGCUCGUGUG